rnacentral:rRNA from 1 species
UACAGAGGUCCCAAGCGUUGUUCGGAUUCACUGGGCGUAAAGGGUGCGUAGGCGGCCAGGUAAGUCUGCUGUGAAAUCCCGCAGCUCAACUGCGGAACUGCAUUGGAAACUAUCUGGCUAGAGGAAUGGAGGGGAGACUGGAAUUCUCGGUGUAGCAGUGAAAUGCGUAGAUAUCGAGAGGAACACCUGCGGCGAAGGCGGGUUGCUGGGCUGACACUGACGCUGAAGCGCGAAAGCUAGGGGAGCGAACGGG